GUCAAAAUUCCCGAGAGGUCAAAGGGGUCAGACUCAAGUUCUGAUGCAAUUGCUUCGUGGGUUCGAAUCCCACUUUUGACA
rnacentral:tRNA from 1 species